rnacentral:snRNA from 1 species
UCAAGCCAAGCAAUACCAGG